AGCUGCAGCCACACCGAAGGCAACACAUUCAAUCUUGCCAGCUAAGCUGCCCCAGACCCAAUUACUAUUUGCAUGGAAACCACCUGGAAACGUGAGGUGCUGCAGAUU
rnacentral:rRNA from 1 species